rnacentral:rRNA from 1 species
UGCAAGUCGCACGGUAUGGGGGCAACUCCAUGCAGUGGCGGACGGGUGAGUAACGCGUAGGAAUCUAUCCUUGGAUGGGGGACAACCGUGGGAAACUACGGCUAAUACCGCAUAAUGCCUGAGGGCCAAAGACGUAAGUCGUCUGGGGAGGAGCCUGCGUCUGAUUAGGUAGUUGGUGGGGUAAAGGCCUACCAAGCCUGCGAUCAGUAGCUGGUCUGAGAGGAUGAUCAGCCACAUUGGGACUGAGACACGGCCCAAACUCCUACGGGAGGCAGCAGUGGGGAAUAUUGGACAAUGGGGGCAACCCUGAUCCAGCAAUGCCGCGUGGGUGAAGAAGGUUUUCGGAUUGUAAAGCCCUUUUGGCGGGGACGAUGAUGACGGUACCCGCAGAAUAAGCUCCGGCUAACUUCGUGCCAGCAGCCGCGGUAAUACGAAGGGGGCUAGCGUUGCUCGGAAUGACUGGGCGUAAAGGGCGCGUAGGCGGCUUACAUAGUUAGGCGUGAAAUUCCUGGGCUCAACCUGGGGACUGCGUCUAAUACAUGUAGGCUUGAGUGUGAAAGAGGGUCGUGGAAUUUCCAGUGUAGAGGUGAAAUUCGUAGAUAUUGGAAAGAACACCGGUGGCGAAGGCGGCGACCUGGUUCAUUACUGACGCUGAGGCGCGAAAGCGUGGGGAGCAAACAGGAUUAGAUACCCUGGUAGUCCACGCUGUAAACGAUGUGUGCUGGAUGUUGGGGUGCUUAGCACUUCAGUGUCGUAGCUAACGCGGUAAGCACACCGCCUGGGGAGUACGGCCGCAAGGUUGAAACUCAAAGGAAUUGACGGGGGCCCGCACAAGCCGGUGGAGCAUGUGGUUUAAUUCGAAGCAACGCGCAGAACCUUACCAGGAUUUGACUUGGAAGAGACCUGCCCAGAGAUGGGUAUUCCCGCAAGGGCUCUUUGCAAGGUGCGCAUGGCUGUCUCAGCUGGUUCGUGAGAUGUUGGGUUAAG